GCCAGGAGGCAUGAAAGCACUGAAGCAAAUGCUGCCGUGCACUGGGCCCGGAGACAUCAGCUCCCAGCACGUCCCUGGCGGUGGAUGUGUGCACGCUCUGUGUCUGUCAGUGAUUGCUCCAAAGGCUUUGUAGUCAGCUGUGCGUGGCUGUUUUCUUUUUAGGGCGUGGGAACAGAGGGCAACUCGCUGAUGGGAGUGAUGGUGUCCUGCUCGGAAGUGGAUGUGCUGGGUGGCAGAAGAGGAUUCGUGGCCGAGUGUGGAAAAUCUCUCUGCUCGUUCCUGAAGUCUGGAUUGCCACCUUCAGCUCCUUUGACACCAUCUCCAAAGACAUCAGGACUGAGGAGGGGACCGUGACUCUGCAGUGGCCGGUGUUUCACCUCUCUGCAAACCUGAUAGCCACGCACCACCUCAAGAACCCGCAGGGAGUCCCUACCCGGUAGGAAGGAGAAAUUAAACUUUGCUGGCUUCACGGGCAGGGCAAACAGGGCCACCGCCUCCGUUCUCAAAAGUAAACCUCCCCCUGGCAGGAGUCCAUGCAAACAUAGGCCGUUCUGGCUGAUGGCCACAAGA
rnacentral:lncRNA from 7 species